rnacentral:misc_RNA from 1 species
CAACUUCACUAUUGGUACCGCCAUUUUGUCGUUAUCAAGUUUUGCUGUCAUAUUGCUGAAUUUCUCAUCUGUUUGCCUCACAGUUCGCCCGACGCCAGUUGUAAUCACCAUGAGUUCAUACAGCCAAGCUCUUGACCUCGUCAUCAGGUUCCCUUUGAACUUUGACAUCUGGGCCCCUCCUCGCCAAGUAGAAGACAGGCAGCUAUCCUCUGGCUACAGAUCACCGAGUCGUCAAAAAGAAUCUCUCCAGCAAAUGUGUAUGGGGCCUGUUAUAAACAUGUAACAGUGAAAUAUUGUAAUAAAAUUAUUAUGUGAAA